rnacentral:rRNA from 1 species
UACGUAGGGUCCGAGCGUUGUCCGGAAUUACUGGGCGUAAAGAGCGUGUAGGCGGCCGCACAGGUCCGUUGUGAAAACUGGAGGCUUAACCUUCAGACGUCGAUGGAAACCGUGCGGCUAGAGUCCGGAAGAGGAGAAUGGAAUUCCUGGUGUAGCGGUGAAAUGCGCAGAUAUCAGGAAGAACACCCGUGGCUAAGGCGGUUCUCUAGUACGGUACUGACGCUGAGACGCGAAAGCGUGGGGAGCGAACAGG